GGGCCCGCACAAGCAGUGGAGCAUGUGGUUUAAUUCGAUGCAACGCGAAGAACCUUACCAGGCCUUGACAUCCUCGGAACUUUCUAGAGAUAGAUUGGUGCCUUCGGGAACCGAGUGACAGGUGCUGCAUGGCUGUCGUCAGCUCGUGUCGUGAGAUGUUGGGUUAAGUCCCGUAACGAGCGCAACCCUUGUCUUUAGUUGCCAGCACAUUAUGGUGGGAACUCUAAGGAGACUGCCGGGGUCAACUCGGAGGAAGGUGGGGACGACGUCAAGUCAUCAUGCCCCUUAUAUCCAGGGCUGCAAACAUGCUACAAUGGCCGGUACAAAGGGCUGCGAGACCGCGAGGUUAAGCGAAUCCCACAAAGCCGGUCUCAGUUCGGAUUGGAGUCUGCAACUCGACUCCAUGAAGCUGGAGUC
rnacentral:rRNA from 1 species